rnacentral:rRNA from 1 species
CCUACGGGGGGCAGCAGUGGGGAAUAUUGCACAAUGGGGGGAACCCUGAUGCAGCGACGCCGCGUGGGUGAAGGAGUAUUUCGGUAUGUAAAGCCCUAUCAGCAGGGAAGAACAAUGACGGUACCUGACUAAGAAGCACCGGCUAAAUACGUGCCAGCAGCCGCGGUAAUACGUAUGGUGCAAGCGUUAUCCGGAUUUACUGGGUGUAAAGGGAGCGCGGGCGGCGAGUUAAGCCUGGGGUGAAAGCCCGCGGCCCAACCGCGGGACUGCAUUGGGAACUGGCGCGCGGGAGUGCCGGAGGGGUAAGCGGAAUUCCUAGUGUAGCGGUGAAAUGCGUAGAUAUUAGGAGGAACACCGGUGGCGAAGGCGGCUUACUGGACUGUAACUGACGUUGAGGCUCGAAGGCGUGGGGAGCAAACAGGAUUAGAUACCCGAGUAGUC